GCCCGGAUGGCGGAAUUGGCAGACGCGCCAGACUCAAAAUCUGGUUCCUUCGCGGGAGUGCCGGUUCGACCCCGGCUCCGGGCA
rnacentral:tRNA from 1 species